rnacentral:rRNA from 1 species
AUGUGGAAGAACGUGUGCACGGCAGCAUCAAACCGCUUGGGUCACGCUUGCAUUGCCCUAAAGGAUUUUUAUAAACUCAACAUGAUGCAGCGCGUGGACUGGAAUGAGAAGCAUAGGGUUAUUUUUCUACAUAAAAAGAAAAAUGCCUACGCAUUGCUGUAUUCGGGAGACUUAUCAACUGCAGCAAAGAAUGCAAUGAAGAAUAAUUUUGAAACAAAGAUAUCUCACAUAGUGGAUAUCAGCUACCACAGCUUUUCAGGUAAGAGCGAUGUUGUGAAAAUUUUGACGGUCAAGGGAGCAAAGCCUGACGGGCGACAUCUGUCCUGCGACUUCGUUGAUGUACACCAUGUAGAAACAAUGCUCAGCAGUUACAAGACGUCUCAUGGUACCGGGGGAAAUGCUGCCAGGGUUGAACCAAGUGCGGAUGAGGUCUAG